rnacentral:lncRNA from 1 species
UCUGCCACUCGCGCCCGACGCCCCUCGCCGUCAUCGUCGCGGUCACCGUCGUCUCCGGCGCGCGGGAGCACGUCCAGGAGGUCCGCCGCGGCCGGAUCCGUCCGUUCCGAGGGCCAGCUCAAGCCGGGACGGUCCGUGCGCUCGCCAUCGAGCCCUUCUCCGCCGCGGACGUCACCAACUCGUCGUCGUUGCCACUGCUUCGGGCCGCCUCCGACCUUCUAACCUCGUCCCUGAGAACCGGGGUGAGCUUCUCCCUCGGGACCCCCUUUUACUCCUUCGAUUUGGACGCCGUAGGCCGCCAUCUCCGUCGAGCCCGAACCACCACGUAUGCGUACGUGCGCGUGCUUGCUGUCGCUGUUCCCCGUGCUGUCUGCUGUCCGCUGCUGCUGUCCCGUGCUCGCCCGUCCCUGCUGCGUGUGCGUGCCUGCACUGCUGCUCCGUUUGCUGCUGCCGCUGGCUGCUGCUACUUUCUUGCUGUGCUGCUAUAAACUACUACCGCUGCUAGCUCUGCCUGUUGCCUCUACUACCGACGCUGCUGCUUACUACUCUACUGUGUAGCCGCCGCCGCUGCUCUAGCUGCUGCUGGACGCUAGGUUUGCUGCUCCUAGAUGCUGCUACUUGUUGCUGUUUAUGGACAUGGCCGUGACCAUGCCUAAGCAUGUGUGGUGUACGUGUGUGUACAGCCACCACUGGCCGGCCCGUAUGAAUUAGCUUAGGAGAUAAUUUCUAGUUAGUUUAAUUGCUAGCCAAUGACAAGUGGGCCCCCUAAUUAGAUUAGACAAAUCUGUUUAGAAAUUUAAUAAAAUUUUGACAUGUGGGACCCCACCAACGCUGUUCACUUUGACAAGUCAUUUUGACUUGGUAAAUUCGGUUUAAUUAAAUAUAAUAAUUCCAGUAAUUCCUAAAUAUUGGUAAAACUUAAAAAAAACAUAGAAAAAUAUCCGUAACUCGGAUGAAAAUACUUUAUACAUGAAAGUUGCUCAGAACGACGAGACGAAUCAGAAUAAGCAGUCCAUUCGUCUGCCACACGUCCCUAGCAUAGCAAACGUGCAACAUUCCCCCUCCGUUCGAGCUGUCUGCAAAUGCCAAACUUCGGGGAAACAUUCCUGGAUGUUCUCCCCCUUCGCCAGUAUCGUGUAGCACUGCGUUAGAACACCCCCUAGCACCGCUUAUUCUCAUGUCGUGCAUCUGUUUUCUUGUAUUUACUGUUUCUCCUUCCUAUUCUCUCCGGUAGACCCCAAGACCGUUGCUGAUGCCACUGUGGUCGACUACGUCGACGACGACCCUUCUUACCUUUCAUCGGAGCUUCCAGGCAAGCCCCCCCUUUGAUCAUCCCGAUAUCGUCCAUUCCAUUAUCUCAUGCUUGCAUUCGAUUUUGCUAUUGUUAUUGUUUGCUCCUAUUCUGAUGCAUAGCCUGCUUUUGUACCUGCUUAUUGUUACCUACUUGCCUAUCCUAAACUGCUUAGUAUAGGUUGGCUAGUUAUCUAUGAGUGACCCCCACAUGUCCUUGUUGCCCCUGCUUCGUCAUCGACGCCUCGAUCGACGUGAUCGACGACCAGAGCCUGACACCUCACAUCACAUCACGCCCCUUUAGUUGCUCGACUCUGCAGAGCUACUAUCGAGUGCCGAGGGUGAUCCCUCAUAAUGCACUCCUGAUGAUAAUUUUGUAGUGUAUCUAUUCGGUCAUGGUCAUCGAGGGUGAUUUCCUCUUUCACCAUUCCCGAUACGGCUCUGUCGUUCAACACCUCAAGUGUGAACCUCGAGGGUGGUCCCUCUUACGUUCACCUUGAUGAUUACAUUGAGUGGAAUCCACCGGGGGUGAUUCCUCGGGUUUUCCACUUGAUGUCUGGACGCACAGUUACCUUGACUUUACUUGAGACCUUGGUGAAAGUCGGGCGGGCCCGGAGAGCACCCGCAAGAUAAUGACGUCGCACGGCCGGGCAUUCUAGGCCCUUGUCGUAAGUCCACGAGACGGGACGACGGGGUCACUUUCGAUCGUGAGUCUCUGCUCGUCUCCGCAAGCUAAUAAUACACUAUGGUUUGGAUAUUUGUUCUGAGUUGGCCUUUGGCCUUUAUGCACUAACCACCAUGCGAGAAUAAUUAUGGGCCUCGACGUUGCAGUAUCAGCCGAAGUUUUGUCAGACGUCCAGUUCAGCAUUGUGGCCGGGCCGGAUCGUGCCAUCCACUUCACGGGUGGUGCUGGUAUCCCCUUGCGCACAAUGACCUGGAGUGCAACAGGCGAUUGGCCCAGACCCUGGAGUGCUUAGGAUGUAGACCGACGGGGACCUCUCUGCUAAGCCUAGGUAGGGCUGCGACGUGUUGAUCUUUCAAGGCCGGGCAUUGACCCCAGAAAGGUGUGUCCGGCCAGAGUGAUCGAGCGUGUUGGGUAACGUGGUGCACCCCUGCAAGGAAGACAUAUAUUCGAAUACCGUGUCCACAGUAAUGGACGUUCAGACUUGUAUCCUGGUCUUAUACAACUACAAAUGGACACUUCAAUAUGUGGCUCCGGGAUUGCUUUCUCGCAGGGAGUCGAGGAAGGAUCUCUGGGCAUUAAUGUUACAACAUGUUUGUUAAUUAAACUGCUAUUCUUUACUCUUCUACAUGCUGCAAGAUGCUUGGAGCUACUUGAAGAUGCUAGUCUUCGAUAGCCUAGGCAUCCCCCCUCUAUUCUGGCAUUCUGCAGUUCAGUCCACAGAUACAACCCUUCCAUUUGAUACCAAUGCAUACUUAGUAUAGAUCUGAUGCUUGCGAGUACUUUGGAUGAGUACUCACGGUUGCUUUGCUACCCCUUUUCCCCCUUCUUUCUUCUUUCCGGUUGACGCAACCAGAUGGUGGAUCCCUGGAGCCAGAUGCCACCGCGGAUGGAUGCUACUACAUGGAGACCGCCGAUGACCAGGAGUAGUUAGGAGGUCCCAGGCAGGAGGCCUUGCCUCUUCGAUCGUGUUGCUUUUGUGCUAGCCUUCUUAAGGCAUCCUUGUUUAACUUAUGUCUGUACUCAGAUAUUGUUGCUUCCGCUGACUCUUGUGUAUCGAGCUUGUAUUCGAGCCCUCGAGGCCCCUGGCUUGUAAUAUAAAGCUUGUAUUAUUUUGAUUUGUGUCUAGAGUUGUGUUGUGAUAUCUUCCCGUGAGUCCCUGAUCUUGAUCAUACACAUUUGCAUGUAUGAUUAGUGUACGAUUGAAUCGGGGGCAUCACAAGUUGGUAUCAGAGCCGACUGCCUGCAGGAUCCCCCUUUCAACUCCUUGGCCGAAGUUGGGUCUAGUCUUUGAAAAAUUGUUUUACUAACAUGGCUGACGGCCCCACGUCGCCAAUUGGGUGGUAUUAGGAUCUUUUAUUCCUCGUCUAUACUUUGGGAAUCUGAUCUCUCUUCCAUUCUGGUUAACUGAUUUUGCUAACAGCUCUAGGUUCUCGUAAAUACUUUCUCCCGGAGAGCCCCUCACUCCAGAUGAUUAAUUGGUGCACCAGAAGUUUCCGAAGAUACUCUCCGAAGUUUUCUCGAGACCCUUGUGUCAUUCGUCGUUGCAAUCCCUAACACCGAUAAAUCCUUAUGUAUAACUACCUAUGUUGUCCUUCAUACCUUCAUCCCCAGUUGCUCUUGUUGUUACAAGAUGUCUUGAAAUACUCUUCGAUGUUCUGAGGAUCCUUUAUGCUUACUGCCCUGCAGUCAUUGCCGCAUGAAUACCCCUUCGGAUAAUUACUUGCUCUUAUCGAGUAUCCAUUCACCCCAAUUAUUCGUAUGCUUCGUAAGAUACUUGGUAGUACAAUCCGAGCUUUCGAUGACCUCUGUCGCCUAUUGCUCUAGAAAGUCUUACCUGCCUACACUCUGGUUAAUUCCAUAUGCCUAGCAGUAUCCAUUGACGUCCUUUGUCAUUAUCAUCUUGAGUCUUUCGAUUUGAUAUGUCUGUGUCGCAAUCAUCAGUUGAUUCUUAUAGAUUAUCUUUCCGGCUCAGACGUCUUCUCGAACAUGAGUUGGUUCUCGGCCAAUCAGAUUGCCAUCGAUUGUACCCUAAGUCUAUUCAACUUAACCAUCCUUGGUCAGAGCGUUUGCUUAUGAUCCCUUGAUUUUGGAAAUCAUAAUUCCUUUGCACUUGAGCUUUGAAUUAGUCAGUUGUUUCUAUAAUCUGACUUCUUCGCAUGUUUUUCUUCUUCUGGCCGAGUAUCGAUACUCACAUUAGAUCCUCCGUGUACCACCAGAUCCUUUGUUGGGUUUUAUCCAAUAGGGUCCUUCAUAUUCAGUAACCUUGUGAACUUUUCCUCGGAUACAUAAUGCCUUUGGUAAAUUGUAUCCCCUGCUUUUGUCAAUCAUGCUCUACUUCCGAGCUUGAGUUAGUUAUUCCUAAAGUUUGUGGUAUGUGUUCCUAAGAUGCCCCGAUUGGUUGAACCUAUGCCUUCCACAAACUGUGUGAACCCGAAGAUUAUGCAGGUUAUAUCUACUCGCGUUUCUUUGGAUAAAUUUUCAAUUCUACAACUUUGUCAAAAAUAAGAAGUGAAUGGAAGGUUGUGCAUUAGAGAAGUGGGAGUCGACCUUGAACUUUGAGUUCAUGCCCAUGGACCCGAUGUGGAACUUAUCAUGGAAGCUUCUUGUUAUAAUAAUAAUCCCCUUGUGAUAAGUCCAUCUUUUAUCUAUAUUUGGUCCUUUGCAAGUGUGGUUUCGACCAUAUUGUUCUUGUUUGAUCCAUUUAUCGGACAAGUUAAAGUACUUGUCUUCUUCAGAUCGUUUCACCUGUUCAACCUCUACAUUGAUAUACCUUCGAGUAUUACCCUUUGGUAUCUCGAGAAUAUCACGGAACUACAUAACUUCUUAUGAGUUCUUCAUCAACUAUUAUUUCUCAUCAAUUCAAAUUUUCCAUGGGUUCUGAGUUGUUAGACACUUGAGAACACCGAUAACUGAUUCGAGUCUACACUUUCCUUUCCAUUGUUUUGUUUAUCCUUUCUUGUAACGUAAUAUAUCUGAGUAGUGAUAAUUCGUUGCUUAUGUAAAUGCCUCGAUGUACAACUCUGUCAGUAAGACCUUGUUACUAUUGUUGAUGACAUUCCGGUAGCCGCCGAUGGACGAGAACUUUGUCUAUUGGUCCGCCUCGUCUUAACGAGCAGGAAAAUGGUUCUCUUCGUCCCUCGCCCUUGGUACCAACGUUGUUGCCAACAUAACUGACAUGCUAUCCUCUGACCUGCCUUGCUAUCAUGACCGUGCAAAAUGAUUAGCGUCUUCCUGCUUUUAACCCACAUGAUUGGCCCAUGACCCACAGUUCGACAGGAUUGAAACCUUACUCUCAUGUAGAACCUUGAUUCCAAAACAUUCUUUACACUUGGCUUUGUAUGUAAUUCAUGAGCUAACUUCCUCACCAUGUUUCAUUCUGGUAUCAGAGGCAACAUUGUUCUUCAUUGCUCUGAAACCCAUCAUCACUUGUUUUAGGCAUCCGCUGGAUGCCUACCUAGUUGAAACAUGUUGAACCUCCUUAUAGCACUCUCGAUAAAUUUCUUGGUGCUUCUAAAAUCUCCUUCCUUGAUAUAACUACCGGAUGCCGAUCCUUUCAGACAACCGUUCUUAUAGCUUCCCCCUUAUUUCACACCUUAAAUCUCGGGACGAGAUUUCUUGUAGUGGAGGAGAAUUGUGACGUCUGGAUAAUUAAGCUACAGUAAUCCUCCAUUAAUGGCGCCUUGUCAUCACAUUACUGUUGCUAAUACUUGCUUGAUCCAAAUCUUUGUUCAAACUCGAAUUCAAAUUAAAGCCCAAAAUUCAAAUUUCUCGAACAUGCAAAAUAAAAUGUUCAAAGUGUGGCAAAUAAUCCCCGGAUAUUUCUCAUGUUGGAACCAACCUCUUUUGGAUUCCAAAGUGCCCCUGGAAUUUUAUUUAGUGGUCCAGCAGCACUUAAAGUUGGCCUUUCCAAUUUCUAUAAAUGGUUAGACAACUCCUUUUGGCCUCAAGCUUUUGUGACUCCUAAAAUAAUGUGCUUGUUUUAUGUGACAAGUCUCAUAUCUAUCAAAACUCAUUUAGUUUUAUAUUUUAAUAGAAAACAGUAGCUAAAAAAAUGGUUUUUAAAAUGUGAAAGGGAAAAGAAAACUUCCCUCCCCUAUUGGGCCUGGUGGCCCAUCUGGCCACAACCACCUGGCCGGCCCAGCCACACCCCCGCUCGUCCCCUUCGCUACAGGGACGAGGGUUACCGUGGCGGCCAUCCACGGCGCCAUGGCCGCGGUGGCGGCCAUCGGGGCCCCCCUCCCGCUUAUUUAGCCGACCCCGAGCGCCCUCUUCCCCCUGGAACCCUAACCCCGAUCCCCUCGCGCCCCCUCUCCCUCUGCCACUCGCGCCCGACGCCCCUCGCCGUCAUCGUCGCGGUCACCGUCGUCUCCGGCGUGCGGGAGCACGCCCAGGAGGUCCGCCGCGGCUGGAUCCGUCUGUUCCGAGGGCUAGCUCAAGCUGGGACGGUCCGUGCGCUCGCCAUCGAGCCCUUCUCCGCCGCGGACGUCACCAACUCGUCGUCGUUGCCACUGCUUCGGGCCACCUCCGACCUUCUACCCUCGUCCCUGAGAACCGAGGUGAGCUUCUCCCUCGGGACCCCCUUUUAGUCCUUCGAUUUGGACGCCGUAGGCUACCAUCUCCGUCGAGCCCGAACCACCGCGUAUGCGUACGUGCGCGCGCUUGCUAUCGCUGUUGCCCGUGCUGUCUGUUGUUGCUGCUGCUGUCCCGUGCUCACCCGCCCCUGCUGCGUGCGCGUGCCUGCACUGCUGCUCCGUUUGUUGCUGCCGCUGGCUGCUGCUACUUUCUUGCUGUGCUGCUAUAAACUAUUACCGCUGCUAGCUCUGCCUGUUGCCUCUACUACUGACGCUGCUGCUUACUACUCUAAUGUUCUAAUGUGUAGCCGCCGCCGCUGCUCUAGCUGCUCCUGGACGCUAGUUUUGCUGCUCCUAGAUGCUUCUACUUGUCGCUGUUUAUGGACAUGGCCGUGACCAUGCCUAAGCAUGUGUGGUGUACGUGUGUGUACAACCACCACUGGCGGGCCCGUAUGAAUUAGCUUAGGAGAUAAUUUCUAGUUAGUUUAAUUGCUAGCCAAUGACAAGUGGGUCCCCUAAUUAGAUUAGAUAAAUCUGUUUAGAAAUUUAAUAAAAUUCUGACAUGUGGGACCCCACCAACGCUGUUCACUUUGACCAGUCAUUUUGACUUGGUAAAUUCGGUUUAAUUAAAUAUAAUAAUUCCAGUAAUUCCUAAAUAUUGGUAAAACUUUAAAAAAACAUAGAAAAAUAUCCAUAACUCGGAUGAAAAUACUUUAUACAUGAAAGUUGCUCAGAAUGACUAGACGAAUCCGAAUACGCACUCAGUUCGUCUGCCACGCGUCCCUAGCAUUGCAAACGUGCAACAUUCCCCCUCCAUUCCAGCUGUCCGUAAAUGCCAAACUUCGGGGAAACAUUCCUUGAUGUUCUCCCCCUUCGCCAGUAUCAUGUAGCACUGUGUUAGAACACCCCCUAGCACCGCUUAUUGUCAUGUCGUUCAUCUGUUUGCUUGUAUUUACUGUUUCUCCUCCCUAUUCUCUCUGGUAGACCCCGAGACCGCUGCUGAUGCCACUGUG